CCGAGAACUACCAGAGUACACAGGCUGGAGGAGAUGAACGGGGGAGGUCUCCAUCACCCACGCUGAGGGAAGCCUGCCCAGAGCGACCAGCACACCCCUCACCCAUGCUCUAUAACCUAGACAGACGGUGUUGAUACUGCGUUAACAAGUUCCACAGACUAAUGCCUUCAGAGUAAAAUGAGAGGACUCCUGAAUUCACGGGUGAAAACUCCUCUUCGUACAUCAGAGGAGGAAGGGAAGGCAAGGGUUCUGGUUAUAAUGAGAGCCAGAACAGCCAAACAUAUCGUCUGGAGACUGAUGGAGAAUGACCGCCAAGAAGUGAUGGUGGUCACCCUGGGAAGGGGAGUAAGGCAAGGAGGCAGUGGUUCCCACGGCCCUCGGAGCUGGGCUCUCUAUGCCAGAGUCACUGCAGGACUCUCAGCAAUGGUCUUGUUUUCUAAGACUCCAGGCUUCGCUGGGCAGAA